GUCUAUGACAAGUGUCAGCAGCAACAUUCCCAUGAAGGGCAGAUGGUGAUUAUUUUGGUCUUCAAAGGUCACCCAAUUUCUCCUAUAACUGAACACCACGGAGGCACAAAAUCACCCACGACCUGCGUGCAAGUGAGUGGGUGUGCCCGUGUUCCAGUGAAAUUUAUUUUCACAAAAACACGCAGCUGAAUUUGACCAGUGGGCUGGACAGUGUCCGUUCCUGCUCUGUGGUCUUGAUGGUCGUCAAUCACGGGAACCCAUCCUCCCCCAAUUUUUAGCUCCAGGGUUGGGCACAGGACCAGGAGGGGCCAAUCAGAGAUCUCUCUGGGACAGAUAAGUGAUAAAGAAGGAGAGGAGUCUUCUUCCUACUGGGUUUCUAAGCUGGAAGAAAGGAGUGCUAUCCCGCAGAGUUCAGCCAAGCAGAGACAGGGACACAAGGACUGGGGUUAAGGGGAGCAUGUCCCUGGAAGAGGGGGCAGCAGGUGCAGAGGCUAGAGGAGGCCGGGAAUUCCCGGGAGAGCAGCAGGAGGAUGCGAGGCUGGAGAGGAGAACAGGCAGGUCGGACCCAGAGGCAGGGAGGAAAGACAUAUAAACCCCGGCCAGGAGCCUGCACGAUGUCGUGGGGACACAAGGGACUUCAUCAGGAGGUAAUCUCAUUCAAGAAGCACAAAAAGUUUCACCUCCAGUCAGCCCUUGGCACGGACAGGGGGGAGUGAGUAGGCAGCUUCCUUGCUCCUGGUUGGGAUUUCCUUGAGGUCUAUGCCUUGUCCUGACACCCUCUGAACCCAUUACCCAUGGUUUCCUGGAUCCCUCUCCUCUCUGUCUCCCUUCCCAUCUCUACAUGUGCUUUCUGGGAUC
rnacentral:lncRNA from 1 species